rnacentral:piRNA from 1 species
UCCCAUUGCAGGGCUUAAGGAGCUGUGUG